GAGGAUUAUGGUUGUGGGUUGACAGGUAGUCGAGAGUCUCUUCUAGUCGUAUUAGUAGUACUAGUACUAGUCUUGUAUUGUCCUAUUCCGAGUUCCUUGCUGAUUAGACGAUGUGGCAUUAUUGCCGGUAGUUUUCGCACUUCUCUUAUAGCUUCGUAUCCCUAGUUCUCUACUAUUACAUGAUGUGCUAUUUGUUUCUUUUAUCUUAUUUCCUUGCCAUUGUUAAUGUUGGUUUAUUGUGUCCUUGUCACUGUUCUUAAGCCGAGGGACUAUUGGAAACAACCUCUCUUCCUUCGUAAGGUAGGGGUAAGGUCUGCGUACACACUACCCUCCCCAGACCCCACAUGUGGGAUUGCACAGGGUUUGUUGUUGUUGUUGUUGUUGUUGUUGAAGUUUCUCUCUAGCCACAAGGGGUUCCAUAAUGGCUAUAAAAGAAAUUUUGUUGUUGAGUUUGAAGAAUUUAAGUCUUUCAAAGGCAUUUUUAAUGCCUCGAAUAUUCCAUAUGAGAGUGCUAAUCAUGGGAAAGAUUGUGUGAUAUUGUGAGCUUAGCCCUGGAUCUUGUUCGAGGAGCAUUACCUCCUCCUCUGCUUUUGCCUCCUUUAUAAGUGCCUUGUCCUCUAGGUGAGAGAUUGUGUGUCUUAGUGAUCUCCUCAAAAUCUUGGCUAAUAUUGGGAUCUGAGUGUUGAUGUGAGCUAACUAAAUCAAGUAGUUGUGCUUCAGUUUCAUCAUCAUCACUUUUUAUACCACUAUCUUCGUCUUCUGCAGAAAUGUCCCCAUGUAUGCUUUCAUAUUCUUCAUUAUCAUCUGACAUGUUUUCAUUUUCAGGAUCUGGAGGCUCAGUUCCCCUCGCAGGAAUAGGAUAGUCUUGUGCUGAGAUAUAUUGAAUGACCUGUAAGUGAGUUCUGUCCGUAGAUUGAGGUUUAUAGCUAUGACCUGAAACUUCUUCCUUGUAAGCAUUCUCUGGAGAUUCUGGAACAUAAGAUGAGGAGCUUUGAGGGGUGUUGAGUUUGGUAAGUGUUUUGGUAGUUGUUGGAGUGUUGGAAUUUGGGUUAGCUUUAGUUUGGAUUUGAAUAGAGGCAGGAUUGUUGUGGGAUUGGUCACUCUGGUGACUCCUGGGAGGUUGUUUGCUAUUAUGGGGGCUGCUGUCUUUGGUGAAAGGUUCAACUUGCUUCUGUUUUUGUAUAUCAUCUUUAGUAGUGGUUGGAAAAGUACUGGUUGUUUUGUUUGAAUCAAGUUAAGU
rnacentral:lncRNA from 1 species